AGCGGAGGAAAAGAAACUAACAAGGAUUCCCCUAGUAGCGGCGAGCGAAGCGGGAAGAGCUCAAAUUUAUAAUCUGGCACCUUCGGUGUCCGAGUUGUAAUCUCUAGAAGUGUUUUCCGCGUUGGACCGCACACAAGUCUGUUGGAAUACAGCGGCAUAGUGGUGAAACCCCCGUAUAUGGUGCGGACGCCCAGCGCUUUGUGAUACACUUUCAAUGAGUCGAGUUGUUUGGGAAUGCAGCUCAAAUUGGGUGGUAAAUUCCAUCUAAAGCUAAAUAUUGGCGAGAGACCGAUAGCGAACAAGUACCGUGAGGGAAAGAUGAAAAGCACUUUGGAAAGAGAGUUAACAGUACGUGAAAUUGUUGGAAGGGAAACGCUUGAAGUCAGACUUGCUUGCCGGAGCUUGCUUCGGUUUGCAGGCCAGCAUCAGUUUUCCGGGGUGGAUAAUGACGGUUUGAAGGUAGCAGUCUCGGCUGUGUUAUAGCUUUCCGUUGGAUACAUCCUGGGGGACUGAGGAACGCAGCGUGCUUUUUGCGAAAGACUCGUCUUUUUCACGCUUAGGAUGCUGGUGGAAUGGCU
rnacentral:rRNA from 1 species